rnacentral:rRNA from 1 species
CCCGCAACGAGCGCAACCCCUAUUGUUAGUUGCCAUCAUUCAGUUGGGCACUCUAGCGAGACUGCCGGUAAUAAACCGGAGGAAGGUGGGGAUGACGUCAAAUCAUCAUGCCCCUUAUGACCUGGGCUACACACGUGCUACAAUGGUUGGUACAACGAGUUGCGAGUCGGUGACGGCGAGCUAAUCUCUUAAAGCCAAUCUCAGUUCGGAUUGUAGGCUGCAACUCGCCUACAUGAAGUCGGAAUCGCUAGUAAUCGCGGAUCAGCACGCCGCGGUCGAAUACGUUCCCGGGCCUU